rnacentral:siRNA from 1 species
CAUGAUAUUCACAUUGGUAAACAU